rnacentral:tRNA from 1 species
GAGCCAAUGGCUAAAUAGUGCAGCGUUCGACUUAAACACCAAAGGUCUUGGGUUCACAUCCCAGGUGUUUCA